UGGAGGAAAUCACCCCUAAGUUUUUGGUGAACCCUUUACCCGGAGUUUAGCCUGUCAGGUCAUAUUUAUUUUUCCUGGUUGUGUAGGCCUAUCGCCCUCAGCAGUGACACUAUUUAAAGUUUUUGUUUGUAUGGGGUUUGAGUGUGCAGCAUGCCGUUAAAAUCUGCCGUUAAAACACGUUUUGUACCUUCGCUUCCUGCUGUGUAGCAGGAGUGGGGGAAGGUCGAGCUCAUUCUCACGCCGUCGACUUCCGAACGGUUCCGAUCUUGGCCGAUCUCCUCACACCGACUGUAGCGCUGUUGUUUUGCUGCGUGUCCUUCUCGCGUCUGCACCGUCCAUCUCUGACAGCGUUUCCAUUAUGGUGGACAUUUUGAUGCUAAUGUUUUUCGCCAUCGUGGGCCUCGUGUUCCUCUCCUACAUCAUCUACUUGCUGUGAUGAUGAGGCGCCCCGCUCAGCCACACAGGCGGCCGGUGCACAGGCGAACACAGGAUGCGUGUUUUUCCCCUCCUGCAUCCCUGGUUUCCAUCAUGGACAAUGGGAGAAGAGCCUGAGUCGGACCAUGAUGGUUUACCAUUUGAACUGUCAUCUAGGAUGUGAAGAGAUGUGAAACAAUCCAGGCGGAGAGGAAAAACAAAUGGAGGAGAAGAAGAAGUGGAAGCAAAACUCUCCCACUUGCAACCCACCCCACCACCCUCUCCCCAGGACCCUCCAACAAAAUGUCACUCCAAAAAGUUCAACAAAUCCAUAUAUGGGUGCAGGACAGUUUUGUUGGGUUGAGUGUAAUACAGGUGUAGAAUUUGCCUUUUAAGAGCACUGUGAGUGAGUAAUUGUUGGCUCUAAUGUUUACUUCAGUUUGACAUUAUUGUUCAUAUAGCUGUGUGGUCAACCCUUCUGUACUCAUGUUUUGUCAAGUUCGUGUUUCAUCAAACAGUUGGAGAGCUUCAGUUUUUGUUACUGUUGUCAGAGAUGCUUUAAUUGGGAGAGUUAAUAUUACUUCACUUGUUGCCAAAAUGUUCUUCUCCUCACUACAAUCAAGAGUCUCCAUCAGGUUAAAGGGGAAUGUGUCAAUUCAAUAACUCAGUGUUCUUGUUAAUUGCUUUGGCUGCAAAUGACAUGCAUGAAGAGCAAUGCUGUUAUUUCAGAAAUGCAUCUAAUGUGUGUGCUUCAGUUUUACCACCAACCCUCACAGAAAUGAUCUGUUAUAUAUAAAUCAUGUUUACUGUUUACUGAUGCACUAAUGCUUUACUGAGGUUAAUGACAGUAUUUCACAUGAUAUGUCAAAUAAAGAUGAUUUCAGAAAA